rnacentral:rRNA from 1 species
GGGACAGUAGGCUGGUCGUGCCACCGGUACGUACUGGUCUCACUGAUUCCUCCUUCCUGAAGAACCGUAAUGCCAUUAAUUUGGUGUUGCCGGGAAACAGGACUGUUACUUUGAAAAAAUUAUAGUGUUUAAAGCAAGCUAACGCUUGAAUACAUUAGCAUGGAAUAAUGAAAUAGGACGAUCGAUCCUAUUUUGUUUGUUUCUAGGAUUGACGUA